rnacentral:lncRNA from 1 species
AUCAUACCACUGCAACUCAGCCAACCAGCACAUCGGACAGUGGGAGGAGGAAUUCUUGGCUAAGAGUACUGAGAGAUGGGGUUUCACCAUGUUAACCAGGAUGGUCUCAAUCUCCUGACCGCGUGAUCCACCUGCCUCAGCCUCCCAAAGUGCUGGGAUUACAGGCGUGAGCCACCAUGCCUGGCCAAAAUUCUGUAUGUCUUUCUAAUCUCACUUCCUAAUGGAGAUAAAAUAGAUCUCAGGCUUAUGUAUUUUUCUAGAACAUUAAAAUCUUGUUUUUUGUGUA